ensembl:snoRNA SNORA74 Small nucleolar RNA SNORA74
CCCAGCUGUAGACAACUGUCUAGGAUGACUGUGGCAGGCAAGUGUUGCACUGCUGGGAGAAAAGCAGCUGAGAGCUGGCAGGCAUCCUGGGCCUGGGUAAUGCCAAAUUUGUGUUAACUUCACCAGUGUGCCAACAUA